UGGGGAAUUGUUCACAAUGGGCGCAAGCCUGAUGACGCAACGCCGCGUGGGGGAUGAAGGUCUUCGGAUCGUAAACCCCUGUCGAAUGGGACGAAAGACUCGCGAGUGAAUACUUCGCGAGAGUGACGGUACCGUUAAAGGAAGCCACGGCUAACUCUGUGCCAGCAGCCGCGGUAAUACAGAGGUGGCAAGCGUUGUUCGGAAUUACUGGGCGUAAAGGGCGCGUAGGCGGCCCUCUAAGUCAGACGUGAAAUCCCCCGGCUUAACCUGGGAACUGCGUCUGAUACUGGAGGGCUUGAGUAUGGGAGAGGGAUGUAGAAUUCCAGGUGUAGCGGUGAAAUGCGUAGAUAUCUGGAGGAAUACCGGUGGCGAAGGCGGCAUCCUGGACCAUUACUGACGCUGAGGCGCGAAAGCUAGGGGAGCAAACAGGAUUAGAUACCCGCGUAGUCCCUGAGCGGGCUGGCAAGGCGCAU
rnacentral:rRNA from 1 species